rnacentral:tRNA from 1 species
GCCGGCGUGGCGGAAUUGGCAGACGCGCCAGACUCAAAAUCUGGUGGUAGCAAUACCAUGAGGGUUCGAGACCCCCCGCCGGUACCA